UUAAGCGACUAAGCGUACACGGUGGAUGCCCUGGCAGUCAGAGGCGAUGAAGGACGUGCUAAUCUGCGAAAAGCGUCGGUAAGGUGAUAUGAACCGUUAUAACCGGCGAUGUCCGAAUGGGGAAACCCAGUGCAAUUCGUUGCACUAUCGUUAACUGAAUACAUAGGUUAACGAGGCGAACCGGGGGAACUGAAACAUCUAAGUACCCCGAGGAAAAGAAAUCAACCGAGAUUCCCCCAGUAGCGGCGAGCGAACGGGGAGCAGCCCAGAGUCUGAAUCAGCUUGUGUGUUAGUGGAACGGUCUGGAAAGUCCGACGGUACAGGGUGAUAGUCCCGUACACCAAAAUGCACAGGCUGUGAACUCGAAGAGUAGGGCGGGACACGUGGUAUCCUGUCUGAAUAUGGGGGGACCAUCCUCCAAGGCUAAAUACUCCUGACUGACCGAUAGUGAACCAGUACCGUGAGGGAAAGGCGAAAAGAACCCCGGCGAGGGGAGUGAAAAAGAACCUGAAACCGUGUACGUACAAGCAGUGGGAGCACCUUCGGGUGUGACUGCGUACCUUUUGUAUAAUGGGUCAGCGACUUAUAUUCUGUAGCAAGGUUAACCGUAUAGGGGAGCCGCAGGGAAACCGAGUCUUAACUGGGCGUUAAGUUGCAGGGUAUAGACCCGAAACCCGGUGAUCUAGCCAUGGGCAGGUUGAAGGUUGGGUAACACUAACUGGAGGACCGAACCGACUAAUGUUGAAAAAUUAGCGGAUGACUUGUGGCUGGGGGUGAAAGGCCAAUCAAACCGGGAGAUAGCUGGUUCUCCCCGAAAGCUAUUUAGGUAGCGCCUCGUGAACUCAUCUUCGGGGGUAGAGCACUGUUUCGGCUAGGGGGUCAUCCCGACUUACCAACCCGAUGCAAACUACGAAUACCGAAGAAUGUUAUCACGGGAGACACACGGCGGGUGCUAACGUCCGUCGUGAAGAGGGAAACAACCCAGACCGCCAGCUAAGGUCCCAAAGUCAUGGUUAAGUGGGAAACGAUGUGGGAAGGCACAGACAGCCAGGAUGUUGGCUUAGAAGCAGCCAUCAUUUAAAGAAAGCGUAAUAGCUCACUGGUCGAGUCGGCCUGCGCGGAAGAUGUAACGGGGCUAAACCAUGCACCGAAGCUGCGGCAGCGACACUAUGUGUUGUUGGGUAGGGGAGCGUUCUGUAAGCCUGCGAAGGUGUGCUGUGAGGCAUGCUGGAGGUAUCAGAAGUGCGAAUGCUGACAUAAGUAACGAUAAAGCGGGUGAAAAGCCCGCUCGCCGGAAGACCAAGGGUUCCUGUCCAACGUUAAUCGGGGCAGGGUGAGUCGACCCCUAAGGCGAGGCCGAAAGGCGUAGUCGAUGGGAAACAGGUUAAUAUUCCUGUACUUGGUGUUACUGCGAAGGGGGGACGGAGAAGGCUAUGUUAGCCGGGCGACGGUUGUCCCGGUUUAAGCAUGUAGGCUGGUUAUCCAGGCAAAUCCGGAUAAUCAAGGCUGAGGUGUGAUGACGAGGCACUACGGUGCUGAAGUAACAAAUGCCCUGCUUCCAGGAAAAGCCUCUAAGCAUCAGGUAACAUUAAAUCGUACCCCAAACCGACACAGGUGGUCAGGUAGAGAAUACCAAGGCGCUUGAGAGAACUCGGGUGAAGGAACUAGGCAAAAUGGUGCCGUAACUUCGGGAGAAGGCACGCUGGUGUGUAGGUGAAGUCCCUGCGGAUGGAGCUGAGACCAGUCGAAGAUACCAGCUGGCUGCAACUGUUUAUUAAAAACACAGCACUGUGCAAACACGAAAGUGGACGUAUACGGUGUGACGCCUGCCCGGUGCCGGAAGGUUAAUUGAUGGGGUUAUCCGUAAGGAGAAGCUCUUGAUCGAAGCCCCGGUAAACGGCGGCCGUAACUAUAACGGUCCUAAGGUAGCGAAAUUCCUUGUCGGGUAAGUUCCGACCUGCACGAAUGGCGUAAUGAUGGCCAGGCUGUCUCCACCCGAGACUCAGUGAAAUUGAACUCGCUGUGAAGAUGCAGUGUACCCGCGGCAAGACGGAAAGACCCCGUGAACCUUUACUAUAGCUUGACACUGAACAUUGAGCCUUGAUGUGUAGGAUAGGUGGGAGGCUUUGAAGCGUGGACGCCAGUCUGCGUGGAGCCAACCUUGAAAUACCACCCUUUAAUGUUUGAUGUUCUAACGUUGGCCCCUGACCGGGGUUGCGGACAGUGUCUGGUGGGUAGUUUGACUGGGGCGGUCUCCUCCCAAAGCGUAACGGAGGAGCACGAAGGUUAGCUAAUCCUGGUCGGACAUCAGGAGGUUAGUGCAAUGGCAUAAGCUAGCUUGACUGCGAGCGUGACGGCGCGAGCAGGUGCGAAAGCAGGUCAUAGUGAUCCGGUGGUUCUGAAUGGAAGGGCCAUCGCUCAACGGAUAAAAGGUACUCCGGGGAUAACAGGCUGAUACCGCCCAAGAGUUCAUAUCGACGGCGGUGUUUGGCACCUCGAUGUCGGCUCAUCACAUCCUGGGGCUGAAGUAGGUCCCAAGGGUAUGGCUGUUCGCCAUUUAAAGUGGUACGCGAGCUGGGUUUAGAACGUCGUGAGACAGUUCGGUCCCUAUCUGCCGUGGGCGCUGGAGAAUUGAGGGGGGCUGCUCCUAGUACGAGAGGACCGGAGUGGACGCAUCACUGGUGUUCGGGUUGUCAUGCCAAUGGCACUGCCCGGUAGCUAAAUGCGGAAGAGAUAAGUGCUGAAAGCAUCUAAGCACGAAACUUGCCCCGAGAUGAGUUCUCCCUGAGACUUUAAGUCUCCUGAAGGAACGUUAAAGACGAUGACGUUGAUAGGCCGGGUGUGUAAGCGCAGCGAUGCGUUGAGCUAACCGGUACUAAUGAACCGUGAGGCUUAACCUU
rnacentral:rRNA from 1 species